ensembl:lncRNA
CUCAGAGCGGUGAAGACACAGACCAAGCAAAACCAUGGAUGUUGUAAAUGCUGUGAAAAUGAUCGUACUGGUUUGGACUUUCGCAUCUGUCUGUGAGGCCAGUGAUGAGUCUGGAGAUAAACCCACCAAUACAGAUACUGUUAAGAAAGGUGAAGCAAAGCUGACAACAUCUGAGGUCACUGUCAUUGUGUUCGCCAUAAUUGUCUUCAUCAUCAUAAUGUUAAUCAUUUAUAGGAAAUACAAUCCCACAAUCCCUUGUCGACACCAGAGAGACUAUAAAACAGCUGAUUCUGCCACAAAAGAUGAUGACAACGGUGAAUAGUCAGAAUGAGCUUCUCAGCCGCACAGCUGGACUGUGUAGCAGUUGUGUUUCACAUCCAGUGCAGGUCAUGAGCCUUUAAACAUGUUUAUAAAAGUGUGUACAGAGGAAUCAUAACUGUCUGUGUUAUUUGGUCUACUCAGUGCACUCUUAUCCUAAGCUGUAUGUUCUGUUUUAUAUUGAUUUCUGUGAAAUAACAGAAUGCUGUCGAUCUGUUUGAUCAGAUUACUGUAUACAGUAAUUAUGUUGAAUGUUCUCAAGUCCUUACACUCUCAGAAAAAAAAAGGUACAAAAUCUGUCACUGGGACGGUACCAGUGUUGGGAAGGUUACUUUGGCAAUGUAACAGGUUACAGAUUACAAGUUACCCUAUUUAAUAAGUAGUGUAACUAUUUCAGUUACUUUAUUGGAGUUACUGAUUACAUUUGAUUACUUUUUGAUAACUUUUCUAAAUCUCUAAUGAAUGUUUUUAACUGGUAAUCAUUUUCAAACAUGUAAAUCAGGCAGGGUUAACCUCACACUAGAAAUCCCUGAUCACUUGAAUUAAGAUUAUAAUAAUGUUUUGGAAAAAAAUUUAAUCUUAAAAAAUAAAGCACAUACAUAAAACCAAAUUGGUGUCUCAUAUUUUAGAGCAGUCAAUGCAAUUUGGGAAAGAAAUCAGUCAAAUCUCUGUCUGUGUGUGUGUGUGUGUCUGUGUGUGUGUGUGUGUGUGUGUGUGUGUGUGUGUGUGUGUGUGUGUGUGUGUGUGUGUGUGUGUGUGUGUGUGUGUGUGUGUGUGUGUGUGUGUGUGAUUGUGUGUGAAAAUAUUCAGAUGUAACCCCCUUUGUAAUCGUUAACAUUUUCAUAAGUAAAUGUAAUCAGUAAGAUUACAGUUACAUUUAUUUUGUAAUUAAAUUACAUAAUUCUGUUACAUGUAACUAGUAACUCCCCAACCCUGGACGAUACCUUAUCAAAAGGUACACCUUUGUACCUUAUUUACCCCUAAACAGUGCAUAUUAGUACCUUAAAGUUACAAAUGAAUACCUUAAGUGUACAUAUUAGUACUUUUUAAAAAGGAACUGCACCAGUGUCAGCUUUUGUACCGUUUCUCUGAGUGUAUAAUCAAGCUCCUAUAUUGACAGGCCUCAGGAAUUUUCUUGGUUUGUUGGGUGUUGUUGUGUUUUUUUUUUUCUUUUUUUUUUCUGUAUCUUCAAACCCUACACAUGAUGUUACUCUUUCUCUGUUGAGUUUUUUAAAAAUACAAAUUAUUAAAGACUUUUGAUGCUCUGUAAUGAUCAAUGUUUGACUGCUUUUUAUUAUCUGGUUUGAU